rnacentral:scRNA from 1 species
UACCAGGAAUGUGUUUAGAACGCUCGAGAGCC